rnacentral:rRNA from 1 species
UACGUAGGUGGCAAGCGUUAUCCGGAAUUAUUGGGCGUAAAGAGCGCGCAGGUGGUUAAUUAAGUCUGAUGUGAAAGCCCACGGCUUAACCGUGGAGGGUCAUUGGAAACUGGUUGACUUGAGUGUAGAAGAGGGAAGUGGAAUUCCAUGUGUAGCGGUGAAAUGCGUAGAGAUAUGGAGGAACACCAGUGGCGAAGGCGGCUUCCUGGUCUGCAACUGACACUGAGGCGCGAAAGCGUGGGGAGCAAACAGG